UACAACUGUUGCUUCGGCGGGUAGGCCGUCCCCUGAAAAGGACGCCUCCCGGCCCGGACCGGACCCCCUGUGGGGCCGGACUCGGCGCCCGCCGGAGGAUAACCAAACGCUAUUUUAACGACGUUUCUUCUGAGUGGCAUAAGCAAAAUAAUCAAAACUUUUAACAACGGAUCUCUUGGUUCUGGCAUCGAUGAAGAACGCAGCGAAAUGCGAUAAGUAAUGUGAAUUGCAGAAUUCAGUGAAUCAUCGAAUCUUUGAACGCACAUUGCGCCCGCCAGCAUUCUGGCGGGCAUGCCUGUUCGAGCGUCAUUUCAACCCUCAAGCUCUGCUUGGUGUUGGGGCUCUACGGUCGACGUAGGCCCUCAAAGGUAGUGGCGGACCCUCCCGGAGCCUCCUUUGCGUAGUAACAUUUCGUCUCGCACUGGGAUCCGGAGGGACUCUUGCCGUAAAACCCCCCAAUUUUUCAAGGUUGACCUCGGAUCAGGUAGGAAUACCCGCUGAACUUAAGCAUAUCAAUAAGCGGAGGAC
rnacentral:rRNA from 1 species